rnacentral:rRNA from 1 species
UACGGAGGGUGCGAGCGUUAUUCGGAUUUACUGGGCGUAAAGCGUGCGCAGGCGGCCCGUUAAGACAGGUGUGAAAUCCCUGGGCUCAACCUAGGAAUUGCGCUUGUGACUGGCGGGCUCGAGUACGGUAGAGGGGGGUGGAAUUCCUGGUGUAGCAGUGAAAUGCGUAGAGAUCAGGAGGAACACCGAUGGCGAAGGCAGCCCCCUGGGCCUGUACUGACGCUCAUGCACGAAAGCGUGGGGAGCAAACAGG